rfam:Loxodonta africana unplaced genomic scaffold scaffold_22, whole genome shotgun sequence.
GCAGUGGUGGUUCAGUGGUAGAAUUCUCACCUUCCAUGUGGGAGGCCUGGGUUCAAUUCCCAGCCAAUGUA